AUUGAACGCUGGCGGCAGGCCUAACACAUGCAAGUCGAACGAGUGGCGGACGGGUGAGUAAUGUCUGGGAAACUGCCUGAUGGAGGGGGAUAACUACUGGAAACGGUAGCUAAUACCGCAUACCAUCAGAUGUGCCCAGAUGGGAUUACCUAGUAGGUGGGGUAAUGGCUCACCUAGGCGACGAUCCCUAGCUGGUCUGAGAGGAUGACCAGCCACACUGGAACUGAGACACGGUCCAGACUCCUACGUGAGGCAGCAGUGGGGAAUAUUGCACAAUGGGCGCAAGCCUGAUGCAGCCAUGCCGAGUGUAUGAAGAAGGCCGUCGGGUUGUAAAGUACUUUCAGCGGGGAGGCGUUAAACGCAGAAGAAGCACUGGCUAACUCCGUGCCAGCAGCCGCGGUAAUAC
rnacentral:rRNA from 1 species